CUUUUAUCAGCUCUAAAACGGCUAAUGAAUAAGGGGUGGGCAAGCCUGGUGUCAGCCGCCGCGGUAAUACCAGCACCCCGAGUGGUCGGGAUGAUUAUUGGGCCUAAAGCAUCCGUAGCCGGUCUUACAAGUCUUCUGUUAAAUCCACCUGCUCAACAGUUGGGCUGCGGGAGAUACUGUAAGACUAGGAGGCGGGAGAGGUGGGGGGUAUUCCUUGGGUAGGGGUAAAAUCCUCUGAUCCAUGGAGGACCACCAGUGGCGAAGGCGUCCCACCAGAACGCGCUCGACGGUGAGGGAUGAAAGCUGGGGGAGCAAACCGGAUUAGAUACCCGGGUAGUCCCAGCUGUAAACGAUGCAGGCUCGGUGAUGGGUUGGGUUCGACCCAACCCAGUGCCGCAGGGAAGCCGUUAAGCCUGCCGCCUGGGGAGUACGGUCGCAAGACUGUUUUCUAAA
rnacentral:rRNA from 1 species